AGCGAACGUUAGCGGCGCGCCUAACACAUGCAAGUCGCACGAGAAAGGGGGCAACCCCCGGUACAGUGGCGCACGGGUGAGUGACACGUGGGUGAUCUGCCCAGAAGAAGGGGAUAACCUCUCGAAAGGGGGGCUAAUACCGCAUAGGACCACCGGGGCUUUGGCUCUGUGGUGAAAGGGGGCCUCUGUUUACAAGCUCCUGCUUCUGGAUGAGCCCGCGUCCCAUCAGCUAGUUGGUAGGGUAAUGGCCUACCAAGGCUACGACGGGUAGCUGGUCUAAGAGGAUGGCCAGCCACACUGGAACUGAGACACGGUCCAGACUCCUACGGGAGGCAGCAGUGGGGAAUCUUGCGCAAUGGGCGAAAGCCUGACGCAGCGACGCCGCGUGGGUGACGAAGGCCUUCGGGUUGUAAAGCCCUGUGGGGUAGAACGAACUGGCAUCGGGCUAAUAUCUCGGUGUCUUGACGGUACUGCCUUAGCAAGCAUCGGCUAACUCUGUGCCAGCCGCCGCCGUAACAC
rnacentral:rRNA from 1 species